AUCGCGAAAUUAGAAUAUUAAUUGCAUCCGGAUUUGUAGCACAGUAGCGGAGUUAAGUUCUGGAAAGCUGUUCGAAUUUAGAUUUGCUCUUUGGUUUCCACAAACAUGAAGUUAGUGCAAUUGUCAUUCAUUCAUAUUUUCGCAUACGUUCUCUUGAUUGGACUAAUUGACAACGUAGUCGAAGCCUUAUUCGUCAAGGAAUGUUAUGAUAUGGUACAGCAGUAUACCUAUGUAGAAAGCUGUGCGAGGUAUUGCCAGGAAUAUUGCUUACCUAAAUGUACCUUUUUUGAAUGCGGAGAUGGUGAUGCGAAGUGUUUUUGUGAUCCACAACGUUUCAGGGAGUAUAAAAAAUCUGGCGGUAAGAGGCGUAGGAGAUCCAUCAUUGGCGAGAAGAUGAAAGCUUCGGGUUGAAAUAUGCACAUUGUAUUUUGCUUAGUUCAAAGUAAACGAUUGAUGAAAUUAAAAAAUCAAAACUCA